rnacentral:lncRNA from 1 species
GGGGAGAUGGUGCAAACCACCCAGGCCAACCACUGUGAAGAACAAGGGCGUGACGGAGAGGUGGGGAAGAUGGAAGAGAGGACCAGUACAAGCAUGUGGAGAGAGGCAAAACUGGAGACUGGAAGGCAGUGCGAGGUUAACGCAUCAUGAGAACGUGCAUUUGAAGUGGAUCCCCUCUUUGCUUUACCUGAGGUUGGCAGCUUUGCAACAGUUCAUCAUUACCUCAGCUGUGGAUGUCUCCCUAAACCUUGGGGCAAAGCGCCUGAGUUCUUGAACAGUUUUUGUUCUUCUUCCGUUAAAAAUCUGAGUUCUCUGGGAAAGGGAAUAACAUUCGAAAUGUAAAUAAGAAAUACUCAAGCUAAUAAAAAAUAAUCUGAGUUCUU